CCGCAAUUAUCCGUAUUUCUGGGCUCGCAAGGCGAAGGUAAAUAAAGCUACUUCGCGCUUUCCUUAUUUUAACUCUUGUUCGUCGCUUUCCGCGGGGUUCUCUUCUCAUCCACACAAGGUAAUUUCUUUAGUUCAAAAUUAGCCUUCGUCGGGGACGAGUCAGUCAGUAGUCAGCUGCAUUUCCUCGGUUAAACGCGGCCUGUAGAUUGAUCUCAUUAGCCUGAACGAGCAACGACAUGGUGUCUGCUGCAACGUUUCAUGGGGCGUAGUCUAUAAACCCUUCCUUCACCGUCGCCUCGCCGGUAUCAAGUCUAAGAGGAGAAGAUGCUGAAGGGGGGGACUUUGGAUGUGAGAUUGCUCCUUAUUGUAGAGACGAAGGGGAGAUGCCACUGCAGGCUCUGCUGUUGUUAACAUCUUUUGAGUUUUUGUGGAAACUCUUUGCUAUGAUUAGAGUUGGUUCUCAAACUACUCAUGGGGGAAGAGGCCAAAGUAUCUGCUGUAAUUCAUGACUCUCAUCAAAAGUGGCCCGCUGCUAGGUCUGAAGAGUUGGUUUCCAUCCAAGGUGCAGUUUGUGGUGUGAAUUUUCCUAUUUCCUCAGCUGCAGAUGAAGCUGUAUGCAAAGCUUCUUCAAAUGGUUGCUAUAACUCCUUUGUUGCUUGCAAAAUUGUUAGAAGCAAGAGUGCUAAUGUUGACUGGCAAAAACUUGUGGAUUCUCCCCUAAUGUGCCAAGAGCUGGCUUUUUUUCUUGGUUAGUAAUACGUGAUAAACUCCCCACUUUUUAGAGGAUUUACAGUUGGUGUGUUGGGAGUACUAGAUCUCUCUGAUUGUUCUGUAAUAUAAGCAUGGAAUCUUGCUCUCAUCUAUUUUUCAAGUGUAGUUUCUCUAAUCAAGUAUGGAGCAAGGUGCUGCAGCUUUGUUGGAUUCAUAAAACUCCUAGAGUUUGGGAUUAUGAAUUUGGUUUAAUAUAACAAGCUGCUCAGGGAAAGAUUUUCAGAAGUGUCUA